UUAUGUCGGAAGAAAUCCCUAUGCAUUUCCUUCUCUGAUUAUUUUAUCCUCCCACAAACCUGCAAAACCCAUCUCUCUUCUCCGUUCGAACUCUGGCGACCUCUGACCGUUCCGGUCGUUCUGACGACAGCCCACACCGCCCACUCGACAUCAGCUCACGUAUCUCUAGCUUGAAACCCAACUUCUUCCUCUCAGCCGUCGAUCUACCGUCGCUGAUUCUUGAAGAUCUUUCUCCUAUUUUCUUGCACCCUUAGACUCUCAACUCUUCAGCCGCACUCAGCCUCUCACCUCUCAUUCACUCACACUCGAACUCACCCCACGAACAAGAUCUGAAAAGUGAAAAUCGAAGAUCCAGAUCUGUGAGACUAAAUCGAAGAUCCAAUAAUCAAAACAAGAUCUGAAAAUCGAAGAUCCAAGGUUUCAUAUGGUGCCUUGAAAGUUGGAAGGAUGGAUUGGAAUCUAAUGCUUGGAUUUGGAAGAUUAUGUUUUUAUUUUGACUUUUAAAACAAUGUUUUGCGUUAUUUUGGACAUGUUAUGUGAUUUAGAACAAUGGAUUGUGUUGGUUUGUUUUUUUUAACAUUAGAUCUUCAAUU